GCGAAGAAAAGAUGAGAGGUACUUAAAAACCUUUAGAAAACAAACAAAACUUAGAGAAGAUCGUAUAAUAAUACAGAGAGACAGGAAUAAAAACCUCAAAUCGAUUAGGGUUUUCAUAAAAUGUCUCAGAAAUGACGAGAAAAGCAUGGACGGCUCAUCGGAGCUUGUCAAGGACCCAAGGCUUCAAAACCUAGCCGGAGAGAAGCAUGUCAUGACCGUGAAACCCCAUUAAAGGACCUCUGGUCCAGUUACCCUCGAAACAAAGUCUCAAUCUUCAAACACAAAGGCCAAGGAUGGUGAUAAAUGACGUAUAGAGGUGAUUCAUGGCUUGAGCAGACAUGAAUGCCGGUGAAAUAGAGCUGGAGAUAAUUAGGGUUUGAAAGGGGCUAGAGGUGUUUAGG
rnacentral:lncRNA from 1 species